GAGGAGAUGUUUAAGACAAAGUGAGAAUCUGGUUCAUGGUCGAAGUCAGGAGUGCAGGAAUUGUUCGUGUAACUCUAAAGCUGGGUUUUGUUUGAAAUAACACUAACACCGGUACCUUUAAAAUGACACCAUGACUAAUAGAUAAUGUCAUGAGUGCCUGAUUCAAACCAACUCAAGAUUCUGGACUGAUGUGUGUUAUAUGUUAUAUGUGUGCGUUAGUAAGCAGAGGAGUGUAACACAGCAUCUCAUAAACAGGGGGAAAUGGAGGCGUGAGGUCCACAUUAAAGCUCCCUUGAGGAACUUUUGGUUUGUGUCAGCUUUGGCGCCCCCUGUGGAGAAAACAAUCUUUAUUGUGAAUAUUGUCAGAGGAAAUUUUAAAAAUCAAGCUAUUUCUCCAGCUGCUGGAAGCUUUAGCAUUAAGAUAUAGUUUAUUUUGAGUGUGUUUAUACCAUGUCAGCCAUUCACAUUAUUAGGUUCGGAUGCUAAGCUGUGUAGUAGCCCAAAGAGAGCUGAUAAUAAACGGUGAUUUCCACCAGUAUGUCAGCUUUAUGUAAGCUUGUGGCUAAUCUGUGAGAACUCUGAGAGUGAAAUAAAAAACUGAAAUUAAAUAAUACAAAAUUGGCUCAUCUUUAAACUUAAAUAGGAGGAUAAACAAAGUGCAGUACAAAUUAAAGCUGUUCAUAUUUCAUUAAGAUAGAGUUCUUGUUUGGAUUGUGCUGAAGUCUGGAAAUCAAAUAAGGGGACGGAUGAUAUUCAUGACAAAGAUUAAUGAUAGAAGAAAUGACUUGAAUGUUUUGACAGAGGACGGUGCGGUUGUCCUUCUGAGCUGAUGAGUGGACAGCCUGGUGCUGGAGUAUGGGGUGAUCCCAGUAGGCCCACAUUAAGAACAGAGCAGUGCCUUCGUUACGAGUCAUUAAACAGCCUUAAAGCUGACGGCAUGAGCACUGAGAAGAUUAAUAAGUAUCCAACAAGAAGGCCAUUUGCUCAAUGUUUGUGUAAUAAUUGUAUUCAAUAGAUACCGUGUAUCUGACUGGACAAUCCACAUAACAUCUUUGUCACACAUCCUUGUUUUUUUAAGUUGCAAAGAGGGGGGAAAUAUAACAAACAUGGGAACAUGAUUUAAAAUAAUGUGAUGCUGUGAGUGGGGAAUCCUUUCAUUAUUAGGAGGAUUUAAUCAGUAAAUCCCUUUAAGCAUAUCAACUUUACAAAAUUCUGUCUAGAAGUCAGUUUUUAGUUUUAUAUAUCCCCAUGCUCACCCUUUUAUUAGUAAAACAACGGCAGCCUUUGAGGACAAAAAGCUCCACUGAUGCAUGAUAAUAAUAAAACCCUCCUUAAGAAAUUAUUGCCAAUAUUAUAUUCUUUUUCUAUCAAGUCUAUCAAAAUGUUACCAAAAUUACACACUGCCCCUUUAAAACUGUUUAAUUUUUUCCAAAUGCUCAUCUGAAUUUUAAACUAGUGUUAAAUUUCGAUCAUAGUUAAAAAGACAGGGUUUUAUUUUUGACAUCAUUGACUUUAUAAUACAAAUCUGUCAGUGUAGUUGUUUACCUCCUUUCUUCUUCUCUGAGUAGAUAAAUAGCAGCCUCAGUAAACAUUACGAGCCCUCCCCCAACAACUGAGGCCUGGGAUAAGCUUCACAGUAAAUUAGCCACAAUUAGCGCUGUAGCAGACAUUGACAAGACCAUCCCCCGAAUGCUAUUAAAUGCCCACCCAAUCAUAUCUGAGUUAGUACAGUCCACUGGAUCAUUUCUCAAAUCAAUGAUCUCAGUAAGCGCCGGCUAAAAAGGCCUCCGAUGCCUGAUCAGCUGGAUGUGGACAAUUAGAUUGGAGUUAGGGGACGGCCUUGAUUAGCACUUCGCUCCAGGGCAAUACAAGUCAUUUAUUAUGCAACACUGCACCCAACCACCUUGGCACACAAUGACAGCGGAAACUUCAACUUCACAGCACACAGGUUAAGCCUGUUAUAUUUAAGUAAUCACUUAACUGAAGACAUUUCAAAAGAACUUUUAAGAUUUAUUUUGAUUAAAACGUCUAAUUUCAGGAUUGCUUUAUCACCUUGUAGUGAGGGUUUCUUCUUAUGACUGGGUGUUCUUGUUUUUUUCUUACUUUAAUAUAGUUAUGGUUGGGCUGUCAGACUGAUAGCACAGACGUACUCAAGAGUAUAACAUCACUCAUUUGUUGUAAUGUGAAGUCUCAGCUCCACUUGCCCCUUGCUCGCUCACCCACCCAUGCCACCCACCGCUACCAGGUAAUAGCUCUGGUGCCCAAGCAGCAUCAGCCAGUCCUCACCUUCAUGAAAUUAGGCAUAAAAUAUUAAUAGAGGCAGAUUAGGUUUUAAAACCAGACUAAUGUAGCAUGAAAUGCUGCAGCCAUGCUCUGGUGGUCAGAAGCCUUGAAAACUGACCUAUUUUAUACUGACUGAAUCUGAAGUCAGCUAGACCUUGAUACAAUGCACAAACACAUAUUCAUGAUCAUACAUGGGGAUAUUUUGGAUCUUGUGUGUCUUUUUGAUGUGCCCAGACCUGAACGAAACAUCCUUACUUAAAGAUGACAGAAACAAACUAAUGAAGAGAAGAAGUUGUUGAAGUUGAGAGAUGAAAACAGAUCAGUUUGACACCUACGAACAUUUUUUUAGUAAGAUAAGCAAUUAGCUCACUCAAAUAUAUCUGAAUACCAUAUUUCACCAGUUAGUAGCCCGGGCGUUUAAUACGCAAAAUCAGCUUUGACCCCAGGAGUUUAAAAGAACCAGGCGGCGAUUCGCUGCAGACCUUGACUUGCAGUUACUGUCCAAAAUAUUUUUUAAUACAAAACUCACAACUCCAAGAUCAAACAUAGUGUCAUACUUUUUAUUUUUCUUCCUUCUUAUAUUAUCAUUUAUGUCCAUUUGCUGUCCAAUCUCCUCCAUGUUGACCUGUCCUCCGGUGUGUGAAGGUGGGGCGACAAAGUGGCGCGCUCCGAAUCGUUCCCUUUGACACUUCUGUUUUUUGUCAAAAUAAGAGUUAGUCGGUCAUUUAAGACUACGGUACACCCUUUUUCUGACGUUAGCUUGUCCUCUUUUUUGACAAAAAAACAGAAGUGCCAACUCUUUACUUCUGCAAAAUUAAUAUUGCAAAUAAUCGCACUAGCGUUUAAAAGAACCAGGCGGCUAUUUGCGGCCCGGCGAUUAAUUGGUGAAAUACGGUAAUUCAAAAUAUUCCAAAACAUACUUUAAUACCUACAAAUUGAUCCAUGUGACAUUGUUUUUCCUCGUGUUUGGAUUAUGGAUAACAGUUAAAGUCAGCUGAACGUUGAUUGUUUCAUAAGUUUGCAGCAUUUCUACAUGAUUGAAACAGACAUUGUCCAUGUUAGAUAAAUCCACUUCUGGGAAAAAUAGUCAGUAAAAUAGAUCAGAGAAGACUGCAGAUGCUAUCGCGGCAGUUCCCCCAAAGAGGUCAAAGGUUAUCGAUCCUGAUGGUUUUAUUAGUCAAUGGAUUUUAAGUAUGCUCCACUUUAGAGAGUGGAAUCUGCCCCAUGAAGGGAAAGUGAACAAAGACAGAUAGAGGCAGUGAAGCAGGCAACAGCACUGUCGGAUGUUACUGUUUAUACUCUCCAUCACACACACACACAAAACACACACAUGCACUGCAAACACGCCAACACACACACACACAAAUGUGGGAUGACACACACACACACACACCCUCAGCAGCAGACAGCAGGGCCCUGUCUCUGAUCACGGCGGAGCAUGGAUCUGCAGCGUCGUGAGAGCAAACGAUUUGAGGCAUAUGUCAGGUCCUUGUGGAUUCAAAACAAAGCACUGUCAAGAACGCUCUGCCUCGGCCGUGCAGCCUGCUCCCUGCUCCGCUGUGCUCUGCAUGCGGCAGGCGAUACAAUCUUCCAAGUCCAAGACGAAACCCAUCAUUGUCCUUUCACAUCGUUCUGUUCUUUGCCCCUACAGACUGCUGCAGACUCCGCGUGUGCUGCCCCCGUCUGAGCGGCUGCCGCAGAUUUGCCUGCGAGGCUUGAGAGGGGGCCACGACACCCAGGAGACUGAGUCCAUUCACAUUACGCACUGAGAGAGGAGCUGCAUGGGAUGGGAGAAGGGAAGGAGGAGAGGGGAAAGACAGGGAGGAACCAAAACAAGAGAAAAGUGUGCUUUUUGUGUGUGAGGAGAGACAGAUUGUGAGGUUUUUAAAAGAAUUAGGGAAAAUUAUCUGUAUAAUCAGGACUUAGCUAAUGACUAUACAUCCUAAAAUGAUGAAUUGUGCCUUUAAAGUUUGAGUGCAUUAUCAGGGUGAAUGCCUGCUUUCUGUUUGACUCUAUCCAAUUUUAUUCAAAUGAGCGAAAGACGCCCAUUCAUCAUCACAAUAAAAUGAUGUGCAAAUAUAAAUAAAGGAAUUUAUGGUGCAAUUAGCGGCUACCAAAAAUAUUAUGGAUUAAGAGAUUCAAGCCCCUCUAAUGGCAUCUUCUCUCUGUUUGGAUCAUAAUGGCAGUGCGCUGCUUAAAUUAAAGAGCUCUUGAUAAAAGGGAAUUAAAUAAUCUCUAAUUGCAGUAUCAUAAUAGUCUUAAACGUCUAAUUCAAUUAUCAACACAAGUGGUGUGAAAAAGUGGUGGAGAGAGGAGAGGGAAAUCUUAUUGAACACGCAGUGCCAUGUCAAAUGAGUCUCCCCAUUAUCCCGAGUCAGAAAGUAUUUCCAGCCUGCCCCUGUUCAAAACAAAAAUGGUAAAAAAGAGCCUUUUUUUUUUUGGCCUGCUCGCUCCAGGGCAGUGUUAGACUCUACAGUUUGCUUUGUAUGGAGCUGGCUAUCUGCAAUAAUCAUAAUCCAACAUAAGCAAAUAAGCAGACUCUCUAUAGGCGACAGAACCGAACAGAACUGUCACGUUCCUCUCUUACUAUAUAUGAAUUAAGGCUGUCAGACAAUUAUGUUUUUCCAUCGAAAUUAAUUGCUGAAUUUUCCCGGUUUAUCACAAUUAAUUGCAUUUUUUUUAAUUACAUAUUUUGCUUGUGAAAACAGUUUCAUGUCCAUAAUAACAGUCAGUAUGUUUGCAUGCACAGCUAAGUUAAGUAACAGUCAAAGCUCAAUUAGGCGGUUUAACUGGACUACUGUCCUUUUACCACUGACAGAAGCAUGUCUACCUCCACUACUGUAGGUGGCGCUCCCUUUCAGCUUGUUGCUAUACAGUUAGCGAAACCGGCAAAAUGGGGCGUCACUUUUGCAGCUCUGUGCUGUUUGUUACGAAAGUUUCGUUAUUUGCAUCCUUUCUGUCAUGAUAUGUUCAUUUAAUUUAGUUUUUCUCUGGUUUUAUUAUAUGAGUGUAUUUUCUUUGUGUUUUUCUGAGUGUUUCUGUUCCCCAUUGUUAGUGCGUUUGACCCUGUUUCCCUUCUGUUCUUUGUGUUUUAUCCUCUAUAUCAGUUUUCAGUGUUUCCUGUUUUAUUUUGUAGUAGUUGAUUCCUUGUGUUUCUAGUCUUGUUUUUACUUCCCAAGUUUUCCCUCCCUUCGUUAAUCACAUGAUGAGUUUCACCUGUGUCUCGUUAGCCUCACCUGUUGCUCGUUUCCCAGUGUGUAUAUAGUCCCUGUCUUCUGCUCUGUCCUAAUUGGUUCAUUGAAUGUAUGUAGAUGUGUGUUCAUGUCAGCCUGUUCCCCGUAAUCUUUUAUCCGUGAAUCCUUUGUCUCCUGGUGUUUUUUUCCCUGUGUCUUUUGUUUGGAUUUUUCAGUUGGACAUUUAAAGUGUAUUUUUGUUGCUUUUCAUUUAGUUAUUUUUAAAUAAAUCCUUUUUCACUUCAAUUGAGAUGUAAACAUGAUGGCAUUAGGCAUGUGUCCUAAAUCAUCCAUCUUGGCACAGCUGCGUUAUGAAUAAAAAACUGAACAUUUUUUAAGUAACGACACCAAGACAGACAUUUAUCAGGGAUGAAGACAGAAAGGAUUUUAAGUUUCUUGUUAAAUAUAGAGGAAAUGAUCAGGCCUAGAAAUGCUUUCAGUUCUUAAUCAAAUAUCUCCAUCACUUGAACUGUAACCAAAGUCUUUCUAUCAAAUGAUGUCAAACAUAGAAAUAAGAAAAUAUUCACAAAUACAGACACAGUCAAUCAUCCCUCAACACUCCCUCUCCCACAAACAUGAUGGAUGUUUUCUCUCUGCGCCCCACAGAGAGACGUAUAAUGGAGUUAAAACAAAGACUCUUGGUUUCAUACGGACCUUUUCUCCAGACCCCUCGAAAAUGACUCUCAUAAUCUGUCACAGCGGGCAGGAAGGAUCCACUCAGGACUUGUCGCUCCUUGAACCAACAUGGCUGCCCAGACUUUCCCUGUUUAUUUAUCAGUCUACAGUUUCCUACAGACUUACAAAUGAGCUUCAAGUGCUGAUAUUUGUCAGGCAGAUGUGUGAAAAGCCAGUUUGUCCGACAUCCAGACAACUUUACCCCCCUUGCUAAACAUGCCACUAAUGGUAUUCUUCUUCUUUGGUCUUUAGUAUGUAAAACUGAUAUGAUAGAUGAUCAUAGGAGAAACAGAGCAGGCUGGAACACAGUCGUGGUGGUAAUACACGACGCCUGGUUCACAACAGAGUCAACCCAAGGCCUCGGCUAACGACUCCUUGCCAAGUAAAUGAUGAUAAACACCAGCCCUCCUUCCACCAGUGAGUGCGCAUUACCUAAUGAUGUUCAAUGGCAGUGGUGAGCGGUAAAGACAACAAAUAUAUUAUACCAAUGCAUCUUAAAUGGGCAUCCCUAAGGAAACCCAUCUGAAUUGUAAAUUCAUGAACGGGUCUCAUUUUUCAUAUGCAGCAAGGGUAAAAUCCCAAACAACUGUGUACUUAAUGUGCACAGUUUUUUUUUUUUUUUUUUUGCAGUUUUACAUCUUUAUAAGCACUUACUUGUGUGUGUGUGUGUGCAUGUGUGUCUGUGUUUCUGUGUGUGUUUAUUUAUAUCAAAUGUGCAGCACUUACCCGUUGUCAAGAAUAGACCUGCUUUAGAUUGAUGUUUUUAUGCAGCAGCAUGCCACAGGUCAAACUUUUAACCAUUUGUAAGCCUCAAAAGGUGGAAUAUUUAACACAUUUGACAAAUUACAAAUUUCUUGUCACAUCCUAAAUCCUUGUGUCUUAGACUUUAAUUUAUUAGUUUCUGCCUUACAUUAAAAGGUAGUAUUAUCUUUAUUAAUUUUUAGUCCUGCCACUUUAUUUUUAACGGUUUCUCUCAGUUUUUCCAUCACGCUUCUCUAUUUCAGCGGCUGUGGUUUUGGUAGAGAGCCGCUUCCCUUAAACCACAAGUUUAGUCUGGAUCCAUUUCAGUGUAUUUUAGGGAUUUUCAAGAAGACUUGUCCACUCAGGGGGCCACAAAGACCCUUCUUUAUACAGAGGCAAGGCUAUUACCCGGAACCAGAGACCUCAAUAUUAAAGAACAGCUGGCAUCAGGUCCAUUACUUCCAAAUCAAGCAGCCUUUGAGAGACACAAAUUGUAAUGGACGGCAAGUCAGGUAGGGAAUGAAUGCUGGACAGACUUAAAAUGACUGUGAGACAGAUACCUGGCAGCUGCUUUGGUACUGAGUCAGGUAGAGCCUGUUGGAUGGAAGAAAGUAGGAGGACAAAAAAAGCAAGUGUCCCAAAAGUGGAACAUGAUCUGAUAAGCCUAAAAAAAAGACUGGGGACUGGUGACAUCUGUGCCAACGGUCUUUCAGCAGCUCCAACUUAGACUGCCCAGAUCAGCAGGUAUCCUGGGAGAGCUGGAAUGGGGCAUGUACACACCAUAUCGCACACACAUAGACCACACUCUCACUAUAAUCUGAACAAUGUAAAUGAUCUUUUCUGUUGAUUAGAGCACACAUGAAAAACUACAGCACCGAAAGUGAUUUCUUGGAGCCUCUUCUUUCCGUUGUCAGUGUUUUCAGAAAAUGUUGAGUCCCUGAACUCUGAUCAUUCACAAGCCAAUACAGAUCUUCAGUCACUUACCUCAGAUCAAGGAAAAAGAAAGAAAAGGAGACAGAGAGAAAAGAAAACUGUUUGAUUCCCUCUGGGCCCUCCCAUACUCACUGUGUUGUAGGGACUGUGGAUAAAAGCAUCCAACAAAGGGCGCCAACAUCUGCUCCGUGAGUCAAAUUUGAGAGAGGUUGAACCUAUUCUAUUUCUGAAAUGGUGAACUGGAGGUUGUCUGGGUGGGUGUAGCACUGAGAGCCUCUAAUGGGGAGGUAUAAGUGCAUCUCACACACACACACUGUGCCUCAUGGCUCAGCAGUCAAACACUGAAAAAUAGCUUAGUAAAUAAAGGAGAGUUACCAGGGCUGCACAUGAAACAUAAAGUAGAAAGGAAUAAGCGAUGUACUGCGUAAUUGUCACUUUUUUUCAAGUGUCAUGUUUGUUUUAAUUCUUUAAGUGAAUAUAAAUAACAGGAGUCAAUGGCUGUUUACACAUUUUAGAUAAAAUAACAAUCACUGAAAAUGAUAUUAUAAAGAAUAUAUAACUCAUAGUAGUAAAGUAGUUUGAAACUGCACCUUUUUUUGUAUUUAUUGACAUAUGGAGCAUGUAAUUUUUGCCAUACCCAUACAUACAAUCUAUGAAAAUCUCCCACAAGUGCUCUUAAAAAAGUAUUAUUUUUAAGUGGAGUCUGGAUUUUGAGUGGUAAUCAUUAUACCCAAUUAAGCUUAAAUAGUGUAUCUUACAAUGCUUUGUGAAAGUAGUGCACAAACAGAGGUCACUAUCAAAGCAAAAUACGCCAUUGUGAAUACAAGUCAAAAAAUCUACUUUCAAAAUCUGAGCACUGGUUUUGCUCUUUCAGUGUCGGUCAGUCAAACCGAGACACUAAUGCAGAAGAACUACCACAUCUGCAGUACACAUACAAGACAUACUCAAGAACUCUGAUUGCAUUUCCAUGAAGUAAUAUUCAUAAAUUUUCCGCUGCACUCAGCGAUCGACUCGUCAGGGCUCCCUCACAAACAAGCGGCUGCUGGAGGAGAGUGGGUGAGUUGUGUUUGGUCUCUUUGCCAAAGAAAUCUGGCAAGGCUAAAAAGAUGUUUGGUGGCUAGUACUGUGGCUGAGACCUCAUAUGUACUGUUGAUGAAGUUAGGUGCUGUUCUGAGCAUUAUUUGUGGCUACAAGUGACUUUUUGGUUGAGGUUUGUGCAUGGAGAAGUAGACCGCUGAGUAUUGCUAUUGUGCGGUCAUUGCUGAAUUUGGUAUAACUAGAGAAGCAAGCAGUCAGCAACAUUCAUCUCUCGAAGCUCCUCUAUGGUAUGUCUGUGAUUUCCAACUUUUACAUUUGGAUGAAUUGUUCCAAAAGCUGCACAAACACCUAACUCAACAUUUCUUCACUCCCUCAUCCUGAAUGUGUCUCUAUGCACCACAGUCAUGUCAACUUAAAAUGGGUUUGUCCUCUCAGAUUUUUGAUCUGCUGCAGCACCGUUGAAGCUUCAGCCACCUUGAAUGUGCUGAGUAUUCUCAUCUGACACUAGAAGCUCAGAGUAGCACUCAUUCACAUGCAUGUGGGCACCUUCAUAUUUUUUACGAUUCCCAAAGUUGAAGGUAUGUCAAAGCACGACCAAGGGGCUAGCUGCUAGCAUGUCACCAGGGUGGACACUCGCUGUCACACACACCCACACACACACAUUGCAACACACACAGACGCAGACAGAUGCCUAGGCUAUGCCCUUUCUGCUUCUAUCUGGAGGCUGUAUGACAGACAAAGACCUAACACUGUGGAAAAGGUUUGAGCCUUUCUGUCACUGAUAUACGUGUAGGAAAUCUGCUGAGGCACAGAAAGAGUCCUGUAGAGAAAAGAGACACACACGGGAAAUGUGAGUGUGCUCGUCUUAGUGACGCAUGCAGGAUGUGUAAUAUGGAGUUACUUUAUUCAAGGGAGUAGGUUUGAUUUUGACAUUGGUGGGGACACAAAAUUGUCCUCCUGAAAGUUUGUUUUUUUGCAUUUGCAAUCAUAAUUUUGCCACUUUGACUCCUAAAGAAGUCUCUUACAUUCCGUUUUCUUUUCUUUCAAAUUCUAUACCACACACACGCAAACCAACAUAAAUACAAAUGUAAAUAUAAAUGACACCCCUAAUAUUAAAAUCUGUUCAAGCUGACAUGACCCAGGCACAAUAUGCCAAACAUAUUGACAACUUACACUUGGCAGUUGCAGAAAACAUGCACUAUCUCCCAUCCAGUCCAACUAGCAGGUAACUUUUACAGGCAGAUGUAGUGAUAGUGGGGACAGCCAAUCACAUGUACGUAAGCGAGAAAACAGCAGCCGAUAUUUAGGUUAGAGGCAGGACUUCUAGGAGAGACCGACUGUUAACCCUUGGUGUGCCAUAAUUAUUGAUUGAACACUAUGGACAGCGCUUGUAUUGAUAGGGACUAUAAUGUAGCAGAUAAUUAUUGGUGGGGAUGUGUCCCUAGCAUCCCUACCUAAAUCUACGCCCUUGACUUUAUUCAUGUUGAGUAGGCCGAUUUGUUAUAUCCAUCAGAUUUUUAAGGACAUCAUUGAAACUGGAGCCACAAGUGUCAAAUUUAUAAGAAUUAACUGACAUCUUUCAGCCAAUCAGAAUUGAGUAUUUAUCCAGACCAUAUUAAAACUUGAAUUAAUGUGACCCGUCCAUCAUGCAUCAUUAGGACGUGAUAAAGUGAUUCUCUAGAGAAUCAUUUUAAUUACUCAUGUCGACAUGCAACAUGAAAUAAAAGGCCCACAUAAUCAGAGGUCUCUGUUCUCAGAGAUGCCUCAGGUGAAAACCAGUAAACAACAUCAUGUGUAGGGACAAUAAAGGGUUAAUGAGAGGAUCACCAUGAGCACCAGUCCAUGCCAACAUUUACCCCUUCCCUUAAGGAUUUCCUGUCGCUCCAUCUUUAUUUUUUUCUGUAACUUUCCUCUUAUUUGCAUCUCAUUCCCGAACUUUCCUCUUGUUUGUACAGCAUCAGACCUCCCUUAUCACACCCCUCUUUUAUCCGGCCCUGGCGGCCCCUGGGUCUCCUCCACAGCCCUGCAUGGCCCCUUCACACCAGUCAGCCAGCAGCCAUCUGUCUCUUCAUCCGUCUCUGUGCCCGGCUCAUUUGGCCGCUCAGUAGGACGGUGUGGAUUCUCCAGCGCUGGUGAGCUCUUCUUAUCAGACCCAUGUGGAGGGCCUAAUUAGUCGGUGGGCUUUUGGAAGCGCCUGGCGGGUCCUGGAGCAGCCUGACAUCCAACGUAGUCAGGGUGAAGAGGUGGCCAGCAGGGCCUAAGAGGUGGGCGCUCGAUCCCCUCCGGCUAGGCAAAAUUAGAAUAGAGUGGAUUGAUAUUAGGGGCAUGAAUAUUCCACUGUUUGAUAAUGAAAGACAGUGGUGUCAGAAGAGUUUCCUCUUGUUGGUUAUAGUCAUUUCUUUUUGUUCACUAAGCAGUAAUUGGAAGCUGACGUCGUCUGUAUGGUAGAGAAAAUUAUUGCCCUUGAGCUAACGCAGCAUAUUGGAAAUUUGCCUUCAAAUGUUAAAGAUAUGUGAAAAAAUGUUGGUCAACAGCUUUUCUCUCUUUGCAAACUGCUUUUUAAAGCGCCCUACAUCUUAACAGCAACAUGUUCAGUGAGUUUAUAUGCAGCUGAUCCUUUUAGAAGCGGAGCAUCAGAGCACCAGCCUGUGACUUAAGAAUCAUGUUGUGCUUGAGUCAUCAGCUUUCACCGAGAUGAUUAAAAAUCUUCAAUUGAAAUACUCCAUGAGUGGAUUAAGUAGAUUUUAACUGAAGUAUAAAAUAACUCUUUCAUGAGAGAAUGAAACUUACCUUUAAGAUGUGGGAUGUCUGUCGUGUUGGGGUUUUAACAAUAAUAAUGAAGCCUAACAAGUUAACCUCGAGAGGAGAACCAAACUGGAUGAUGGUGUAUUGUAUUUUGUGUAAUUUACAGCUGAUUUAAGACACAGGUCAAAACCGACCUGUUAUCAUAGGGGGUGCGUAGUAAAAGCUAACACAGGAGGAAGGUUAAAAAUGCAGACUCAACUGAAAUAGUUUCAUAAGCAAAAAGGCAAUGAAUAACAAAAAACAUACCUGUCAAAAUCAAAAUACAAAAACAACAGAAUACUAAAAAGGAACUCAAAUUCAGAAAUCGGAAUGAAGACACUUAGAUAUGAGAAAAGAAACUCACAGACAGAAAAGAAACUGACCGUGAACCAACACUGAAGGAGAGAAUGACAGAGACACUGGGAAACCAGCAACAGGUGGGAAAGACAAGACACAGGUGAGACUAACAGGUACAUCCAAAAAAAGGGUAUCCUAAAUCAUUUCCUUUCCUCUUUCUUUAACCCUGAUAAAUGUGAUUAAAACUGCAUGACUACCUGUUCAGGUGCAUGCGUAGUGCUUAGUGCAUGGUGCUUUUGCUUCACAGCGUAAAAGUUCUGGUUCAGAUUCCAGCGUUUGCAUGUUCUCCUUGUGCAUGCAUCCCAGAGUCCAAAAAUACGCCUGUCAGGUUAAUUGAUCACUCUGAAUAGGUGUCUUCACUGUUGCUCCAGCCCCUGCAACCUUGAAUGGGGAAAGGUUAGGGGUAAAGGUAAUGGAUGGACAACCUAUUCACUCUACAUUAUCCAAAAGAAAAGACCAAGAAAAGGGGGAAAGAAUCAAAGUAAUAGAAUAAAAAGGGAUUAAUAAAAAGAGUAGGGGGGGUGAGAAAGGGAAUAGGCCAUUAACAAUUAGGCCAUUAAAUUGAUGUGUUAUUGAGGUCAGGUUGUGCACAACAACAUGCCUUUGCAUCCAUCUCCAUGAGAUCAUUGAACUAUCGACCUUGCACGGAGAAGGAGGUUAUGACAAAGCUCCUCCUCAUCAGGGCACAUUACAGCAUCUGAAUCAGACAGCCCACACAUGCCCACCCAUAACGCUAAUGUGAUGCGGGCAACAGCCAAUCACAGGCUGCAGAAACCUACCGCUUUUACUUUCCUAUGCGGAGGAGAAUCUGUGUAAACGUGCUGCUUUUUUUGACACAAAGGUGCAGAUUUGUAUCUGCUCUAAUCAGCCCACUUCAGAUCGGUUUGGUAAAAGAGGUUUUGACAGAAAUCCAAGAGUAUCAUCAUUAGCCUUUCAAGGUGAUUUCUUAUUUGGACAAGUUUUUGACAGGCCGUGUCAGCAGAUUUGAUGAAAAGUGAUGACUGAGAUGAAAAAGAAUUGGGUUACAGUAUCUACAGUGGAUAGAGAGGUUGAUGGAUGAAUGCAAUGAAUAAAUAAAUAAAAGCAAGAGCAGUGGAUCAGGCUUUUGAUUGUUUUUGGUGAAAUCUGAUGUUUUUGGACAGAAUAUAGUGAUCUGAAAUUCACCAGAUUUGAAAAUGAAUGUUGUUUCUCUUUUUACAGGAUACUUGAAGAUACAAAUAAAUACAAAACAUACUGCAGUUAAUUGUAACUACAUUGCGUGAUACUACGUUUCCUAUCACAGCACAUUACACUACCUAGAGUCCCUGAGCCAGCAUCUAAACAGUAUUGUGUGUAUUUAUCUUACAUUAGAAAGUCUCACACACACACACACUCACACACUCACACAGGUAAACAGACUUCCUCCUUGUCUCAGCCGGUCAGAACUGUGUUUGGCUUCCUGUGACAGGGCCCAGGGUGAAAUACAACACUGCUGAGGUAAAUUAAAGAGAUGAACGCUCGUGCUCUAACUCACAAAGAGACCAUCCCAUCUCGCUGCCACCAUUCAUGUGGCUUUAGGUGUGUUUGUUCAUGCAACAAGGUCGUCCAAUUAGCCUCCUCUCUCCCUCUCUUCGUCUCUUUAUCUUCUUCCAUCUCUCUCCCACUUCCUCCGCUUCUCUCUUCUGCAAAGGCCUGUGGGCAGGUGAUUAUCAGGGACCAGCUCUUCCUGCGAUUGCACAGAUUUGAAACGAAAGAUGACUGUGGCUAUCCAGUUAUAAGUGAUUCCUUCAUCUCGGGCACAAAGGCUGGUUGUUUUUGCGGUGACGGGAUGAUGUCAUCAAAGACGCUGUAGGGUCGAGGUGCCCGUCAGUCUCUCCGGGAGCUCUUUGUCUUAGAGCAUGACGGACCAAACAAUCGCACUAAAUUGUGGUUGUUUAUUUAUUUAUAUUUUUGGAGUACGGUUGCUUGUUAUUGUUCUGCUAAUUCAGCACAUACAUUCAUCUGGGCUUACGGCCGUUUUCCUAGACUUUACUCAUCCUCAGCACUGUCUUUCCUUAAAUCUUUUACUUUGCGGUGUGUAAAACUUUGGUUCUUUAGAUGUUUGAAGAUAAAAGAGCUACGGCGAUCGCCAGCUUUAAAGGGACUCGGUAGAUUUUACCUGAGGAAUAAAAAGAUUUCUCACACCUCAGCUUUGGAAGCCGCAGCUUAAAGAAGGACACACGGGCACCAUGCUGGUGAGGUGGGGAUUGAUUUGAAGUGAAGAUCUCCCUUUCAAGCUCCUUUUUACCACAAACACAUGCAAACACGCGCGCACAGAAUCUCCCGUUCGACACACACACUCACUCACACUCACUCUUAGAGAAAUCAUUCAGCAGAGACAUGUGCAGGUGGCUCAGGAGAGGAGGCAGAGGAGAGUCAAAAGCGUGACUUAAAUGAGAGAGAAUGACCGCUGGCGCUGCUGUGUGGUGUCGGGGUUUGACAGCAGCCUGAACAGAGGCCACUCUGACUAAUUGGGCUAAUUUGGCAGCAAGGGAAGAAAAGGAGUCUCAAAGGACCAAGUGGCUACUCUUUUCAUCAUCUCUCUCGCCUCAUCUGAACCCACUCACACUCUCACCAACUCCACGGCUCCUUGGCUUGCUCUCCAUUUCACUUUCUCUUUAUCUCCCCGUAAUAAGCGCUCCUCAUCUUCCAAUCAAGGGAUAGCCGAGCCAUCUGAAGUUACCUGUCAAAGCUAUCCAUCUCACAGAUGCGUAUGGAGCCACAGCUCCCAGGCGCAUUAGAGUUAGGAUAUGCUGCAUGAGGUAUAUACUUCCUCCAGCUUGAUGCUUCUUUAUCCUCCUGUUUUUUUUUUCCCCUCCACUACAAAGCUGCCAGCGUGCCCUGCGAGCUCGGUGUUGAGUGAAAGAUUAGCAUGGCCAAGCCAUCUAGUGAAACAUGAUACAAUACAAAAAGAUAUAAACACACACCCUCCUGGAAAGCAGCACCAAGUCAGAGUACAUGCCAAGGAGAAGAUAAUCUGCUUUGUGAAGGUUCCUCAAGGCAGCGCUCAGACUAUUCUCCUCCAAUAUCAAUAAAACACACAGGCAAUACAUUACAGAGUGAGCCAUGUUUGGUGGAGGUGGUGCCUCUCUGAAUUUAAUGCAUUAUGGCUCCUCUUCUGGGUUUUGAUAGGGAGGAUUCAUAUUAUUUUGCUCCUCACUCUGGAGAUGAAUGAUAGUCUAUGUGACAUGUCUCCAGAAUACUCUCCUCUUCCUACUGCCUCCCCUCUUCGUCCUCAGCCCUUGGCACUGGCAGACUCACUGGUCAUCUGCACCAGUGGGAUAAGGGGAAGAAGGGUGAGUCUGAGACACAACAUAUGUUAUUCGCUUUUCCAAUAGUGUGAUGCCUCGCAGGGAAAUUUGUGCUAUCGCAUUAUGACACAGAAAAUGAAAGAGGCUCCAUUGUGCCCCAAGAUGGAGUACGGACAGCCAGAAAUAAUAUCUAGAAUGUAGACAUUGGGGGCUGGUGACAGCCGGACUGCAUGGAGACAUCACAAACAAUAUAUCUGACUUCAACUUCAAAAACAAUCAUACCAAAGAUAGAGAAUGAUAAAAAAAAAAACAACACUUGCAGAAAUGUGUCUGUUUGGAGUCAAAGAGGGAUGGAGCGAAAAUUACAAAUUGAGUUCUUUUGUUCUUCUUUGCUCC